GAUGAACGCUGGCGGCGUGCCUAAUACAUGCCAGUCGAGCGAACGGACGAGAAGCUUGCUUCUCUGAUGUUAGCGGCGGACGGGUGGGUAACACGUGGAUAACCUACCUAUAAGACUGGGAUAACUUCGGGAAACCGGAGCUAAUACCGGAUGAUAUUUUGAACCGCAUGGUUCAAAAGUGAAAGACGGUCUUGCUGUCACUUAUAGAUGGAUCCGCGCUGCAUUAGCUAGUUGGUAAGGUAAUGGCUUACCAAGGCAACGAUGCAUAGCCGACCUGAGAGGGUGAUCGGCCACACUGGAACUGAGACACGGUCCAGACUCCUACGGGAGGCAGCAGUAGGGAAUCUUCCGCAAUGGGCGAAAGCCUGACGGAGCAACGCCGCGUGAGUGAUGAAGGUCUUCGGAUCGUAAAACUCUGUUAUUAGGGAAGAACAUAUGUGUAAGUAACUGUGCACAUCUUGACGGUACCUAAUCAGAAAGCCACGGCUAACUACGUG
rnacentral:rRNA from 1 species